rnacentral:rRNA from 1 species
UACGGAAGGUGCAAGCGUUGUUCGGAAUGACUGGGCGUAAAGCGCACGUAGGCUGGUUUAUAAGUCGAUUGUGAAAAUCCCCCGGGCGUUAACCUGGGAAGUUGCAGUCGAAACUAGUAGAUCUUGAAUGCUCGAGAGGUGAGUGGAAUUCCUGGUGUAGGAGUGAAAUCCGUAGAUAUCAGGAGGAAUACCGGAGGCGAAGGCGACUCACUGGUGGUGCAUUGACGCUGAGGUGCGAAAGCGUGGGUAGC